rnacentral:lncRNA from 1 species
AUGUACUAUGCAACCUAUUGCUAACUUAAAACAUAACAUUAAAACAACAAACAAAUAUAUCAUUGAAAAUAUUUAUAUUAUAAAAUAAAAAAACCAACAUUGUUUUAAACAAUUAGUUUUCAAUAUAGUUACUAUAUGUGCCCGUGCAAUUGUUCAUCCUACAAUAACCAAUCAUAUAAGUCAACUAGUCCGCAAUUACAAUUUUCAAUAUAGUCAUUACGUGUUCUGUGCAAUUGUUCAUCCUACAAUAACUAAUCAUAUAAGCCCAUCUCUUCAAUUAUAUAAGCCGAAAAUAUUUCAAACAUUUCUAAUAUCUUCAAUAAUAAGUUAGAGCAAGCCAUUGCUUACUCGAGAAAUAAAAUUUUGACGAAAAUUAUGGAAUUAUACCAUUGAAAAUUACACAGUAACAACUCAUGAGCCUGAAAUAAAAAUUUAACAUCAAUGGCCAAAUGGAGACAGGAUAAGGAUGGCCAGAUCAGAUUCAAAUAAUAAAACUUAUAAUCAAAAAAUGUUCCAGGCUCAUAAAAAAGCAUAUUUAUGUAGAUGGAAAUAUUUGACCACAGAAAUGAUUUAUACAUCCCAAGCCCAGAAGAGAAAUAACAUACAGAAACUCUGACCAUUUGAAGUCAUUAAAUCAUUAUCCAAUUAAAUUUCUAAUGUCCAUUAUCCAAUCACGAAAACACAAUGGAAUAUAUGGCCACAUAUAUUCCAUAAACCAUACAACUGAAGCAAUAGUUAAUAGCAAAUCAAGGCCGUCACUGAUUCACUGCUCUGUAACCUUCACUAAUGGGCUUUUUUGUUAAAAUUCCAACGCUUUGUAUUCCCAAGAAAUUACUCUCAAGCAAUUCAAAUCCAAAUCAUUUAAGAGUAUAAUCACUCACAAACUUCAUUUUUUCUUCGUCCAAUUCUAACAAAAAAAUUUGAAAAAAAAAAAAAAAAACCCAAAUAGAAUAACAGGGGCAAAGUGAACUGGCGUCAGGUGAAGAGGAAAACUGGAAAAGAGGAGAAGAGAGACCGGAGCGGCCAACGGCGGACGGGCGGAGUCGCAGAGAGUCAGAAGCGAGACUGAGAUUGACGAGCAAUCGAGCAGGCCCUGAGAUUCAAAUUUGGGAAUUUUUGUUUUGGGUAAAUGGUUACUAUGGAUUGUGGAUAUAUGGGGCCGUUUGGGCGUGAU